rnacentral:ribozyme from 1 species
AUAUACAACAAAGGAAAGGAAAAAAGGAUCAACAGAAGUUUGGGUGUUGUAUUUUGUUUUUCUUUGGUUAUUUCUUUUUUCUUUUG